UGUUAGUCGAACGUCUUUUAACUAUGUGAAGGGCGUGGCGUACGGCUCAGUAACACGUUGUCAACCUACCCUGAAGACGUGGAUAACCCCGGGAAACUGGGAUUAAACCACGAUAGAUCAAGAUUUCAGGAAUGGAUCUUGAUUCAAAGGAAGGAUGAGCAUGUUCAUCUAUUUGCCUCAGGAUGGGACUGCGACCGAUCAGGUAGUUGGUGGAGUAAUAGCCCACCAAGCCAGUAACCGGUACGGGCUUUGAGAGAAGGAGCCCGGAGAUGGACACUGAGAAAAGAGUCCAGGUCCUACGGGGCGCAGCAGGCGCGAAACCUUCGCAAUGCACGAAAGUGCGACGAGGUUAUUUCGAGCGCUAUCCGCUGAGGAUAGCUUUUGUCAGGUGUAAAUAGCCUGGAGAAUAAGGGGAGGGCAAGUCUGGUGUCAGCCGCCGCGGUAAUACCAGCUCCCCGAGUGGUCGGGACGAUUAUUGGGCCUAAAGCGUCCGUAGCCGGCCCGGCAAGUCUUUCGUUAAAUCCAGCGACUUAAUCGUUGGGCUGCGGGAGAUACUGUCGGGCUAGGGGACGGGAGAGGCCGAUGGUAUUCUUGGGGUAGGGGUGAAAUCCUAUAAUCCCAGGAGGACCACCAGUGGCGAAGGCGAUCGGCUAGAACGCGCUCGACGGUGAUGGACGAAAGCUGGGGGAGCGAACCGGAUUAGAUACCCGGGUAGUCCCAGCUGUAAACGAUGCGAGCUAGGUGUUGGGGUGGUUACGAACCGCUUCAGUGCCGUA
rnacentral:rRNA from 1 species